rnacentral:rRNA from 1 species
AUGGGCUUCAGAGACCUCCAUUCUUUUAAUCUAGCCCUCUUGGCAAAGCAAUGCUGGAGAAUGAUAAAUAAUCCUGAUUCGGCCUGUGCUAGGAUUUUGAAGGCUAAAUACUUCCCAAAUAAUGAUCUGUUGCAUGCAGGACCAACAAACGGCUCUUCUUUCACAUGGCAGAGUAUUGUAGCCGGUUUGCCUACUUUUAAGAGAGGGUAUAUAUGGCGUAUUGGAUCAGGGGAGAAAGUCGACAUUUGGAAUGACCCAUGGAUUCCUGCGAGUCCAGACAGGAAGGUAAUAACACCUAGAGGCCAGACUUUACUUGUUAAAGUCGUGGAAUUGAUUGAUCCAGUAACUAGUCAAUGGGAUGAGCAGUUAAUUCGAGAAAUAUUUUAUCCGGUGGAUGCAAACAUAAUUCUUCAAAUACCACUCAACUUUCAGGCCUUUGAUGAUUUUGUCGCAUGGAACCUUAUAAGGAGUGGUGUCUUCACUGUUGGCUCGGCCUACCAUGAACAAUGGGCACAUAAAUUCAGAAAUCUUUCGGUCAGCAUGUCUGUGUCUACUUCAGCUAUACAAGCUGAGAUUUGGAAGCAUCCGUGGGAGUUGCAAGUGCCACGUAAAAUUCAAAUAUUUUGCUGGCGUGCCCUACGUGGAGUUGUCCCGUUGUUUUCGAUUUUGGCAAACAAACACCUACCCAUCAGUGAUGUAUGUCCAGUAUGUCGCAAGGGACCAGAGGACAUGAGACAUUUACUUUUCCAAUGUGAUUUGGCACAGGAGCUAUGGAGGGGUCUCGGGCUC